UGUUUUAUAGCUCAGUGCUAGAACAUCUGCUUUGCAUGCAGAAAGUCCCAGGAUCAGUCCCCGGUGGGAGAG